GACGAACGCUGGCGGCGCGCCUAAUACAUGCAAGUCGAACGGGCACACUUCGGUGUGCUAGUGGCGGACGGGUGAGUAACACGUGGGUGACCUGCCCUGUAGUGGGGAAUAACCCUGGGAAACCAGGGCUAAUACCGCAUACGCUUAGCUAUUCAGUUGGCUAAGUAAAGAUUAAUCGCUACAGGAGGGGCCUGCGGCGGAUUAGCUAGUCGGUGGGGUAAUGGCCUACCGAGGCAACGAUCCGUAGCUGGUCUGAGAGGACGACCAGCCACACUGGGACUGAGACACGGCCCAGACUCCUACGGGAGGCAGCAGUAAGGAAUAUUCCACAAUGGACGCAAGUCUGAUGGAGCGACGCCGCGUGAGCGAAGAAGCCCUUCGGGGUGUAAAGCUCUUUUCCCAGAGAUGAAAACGGAC
rnacentral:rRNA from 1 species